rnacentral:rRNA from 1 species
GUUCGUAGGUGACCUGCGGAGGAUCAUUAAAGAUUCGACCUUCGGGUCUAUCUUCUCUUCAGCUGUGCGCUUCGGCUGCACGCUGUUGAACUUCACACACCUGUGCACACUUCGGUUGUGGUUGGUUAACUCUGGCCACUUCCGCUUUUACAUUUAACAACCAAGUCUAGAAUGUCUAAUACUAUAAAAUUAACAACUUUCAACAACGGAUCUCUUGGCUCUCGCAUCGAUGAAGAACGCAGCGAAAUGCGAUACGUAAUGUGAAUUGCAGAAUUCAGUGAAUCAUCGAAUCUUUGAACGCAACUUGCGCUCCUUGGUAUUCCAUGGAGCAUGCCUGUUUGAGUGUCACGUAAACCCUCACCCUUGCGAUGUUAAAGUCGUCUUGUGGUGGAUUUGGAUUGUGCCGUAAUUGGCUCAUCCUGAAAUGCAUUAGCUUGCGCUUUUUACAGUGCUCGGCAUGGUGUGAUAAUUAUCUGCGCCGUCGCCUUAGGCCUGUUCUAUAUGUGCAGCUUCUAAUCGUCCCUUGUGGACAACUUUACUUAACGCUUUGGCCUCAAAUCAGGUAGGAUUACCCGCUGAACUUAAGCAUAUCAAUAAGCGGAGGA